rnacentral:rRNA from 1 species
AGGACAAACGCUGGCGGCGUGCUUAACACAUGCAAGUCGAACGGUCUUCCUUCGGGAAGAUAGUGGCGGACGGGUGAGUAACACGUAGAUAACCUGCCCUUAUGUGGGGAAUAACCCCUCGAAAGAGGAGCUAAUACCGCAUGAGUUCUCUGUUGUUAGAUAGAGAAGAAACCUCGGUUUAUACCUGGGGCAUGAGGAGGGGUCUGCGGCGGAUUAGCUAGUUGGUGGAGGUAACGGCUCCCCAAGGCAACGAUCCGUAGCUGGUCUGAGAGGACGGCCAGCCACACUGGGACUGAGAUACGGCCCAGACUCCUACGGGAGGCAGCAGUGAGGAAUAUUCCACAAUGGGCGAAAGCCUGAUGGAGCGACGCCGCGUGAGGGAUGAAGCUUUCGGAGUGUAAACCUCUUUUUAGGGAUGAAACGUGGGUAACCCACUAAGACAGUACCUAAGAAUAAGCAUCGGACUAACUACGUGCCAGCAGCCGC